rnacentral:rRNA from 1 species
AGGACUAACGCUGGCGGCGUGCCUAACACAUGCAAGUCGAACGAGAGUAGCAAUACUCUAGUGGCAGACGGGUGAGUAACACGUGGUCAACCUUCCCUAGCGUGGGGGAUAACUAGCCGAAAGGUUAGCUAAUACCGCAUGACAUCGUCGAGUGGCAUCAUUUGACGAUCAAAGGAGCAAUCCGCGCAAGGACGGGACCGCGUCCCAUUAGCUAGUUGGUGAGGUAACGGCCCACCAAGGCUUCGAUGGGUAGCUGGUUUGAGAGAGCGACCAGCCACACUGGGACUGAGACACGGCCCAGACUCCUACGGGAGGCAGCAGUGAGGAAUUUUCCGCAAUGGGCGAAAGCCUGACGGAGCGACGUCGCGUGUGGGAAGAAGGCCUUCGGGUCGUAACCACUGUCGAAGGGGAAGAUAUUGACGGUACCCUUGGAGGAAGCCCGGCUAACUACGUGCCAGCAGCCGC